rnacentral:rRNA from 1 species
UGAGGAAUAUUGGUCAAUGGGCGCAAGCCUGAACCAGCCAUCCCGCCUGCAGGAAGACGGCGCUAUGCGUUGUAAACUGCUUUUCCAGGGGGAGAAACUUGCGCACGUGUUGCGCAAUUGACGGUACCCUGGGAAUAAGCAUCGGCUAACUCCGUGCCAGCAGCCGCGGUAAUACGGAGGAUGCGAGCGUUAUCCGGAUUCAUUGGGUUUAAAGGGUGCGUAGGCGGACUAUUAAGUCAGUGGUGAAAUCCUGCAGCUUAACUGCAGAACUGCCAUUGAUACUGAUAGCCUUGAGUUUGGGUAAGGUAGGCGGAAUGUGUAAUGUAGCGGUGAAAUGCUUAGAUAUUACACAGAACACCAAUUGCGUAGGCAGCUUACUGAGCCGACACUGACGCUGAGGCACGAAAGCGUGGGGAUCGAACAG